UAUGGUGGUGUGAUGAUGAUAAAUGUUAAUCCCAGCUCAUCAUAAGGCCUUGUUUUUAGAGACUAAGGCCUGGGAAUAGACUCUAUCCAACAUCUAUCUGAGCUUCAUA